rnacentral:rRNA from 1 species
CACGAACGCUGGCGGCAGGCUUAACACAUGCAAGUCGAGCGCCCCGCAAGGGGAGCGGCAGACGGGUGAGUAACGCGUGGGAAUCUACCCAUCUCUACGGAAUAACGCAUGGAAACGUGUGCUAAUACCGUAUACGUCCUUCGGGAGAAAGAUUUAUCGGAGGUGGAUGAGCCCGCGUUGGAUUAGCUAGUUGGUGGGGUAAAGGCCUACCAAGGCGACGAUCCAUAGCUGGUCUGAGAGGGUGAUCAGCCACACUGGGACUGAGACACGGCCCAGACUCCUACGGGAGGCAGCAGUGGGGAAUAUUGGACAAUGGGCGCAAGCCUGAUCCAGCCAUGCCGCGUGAGUGAUGAAGGCCCUAGGGUUGUAAAGCUCUUUCACCGGUGAAGAUAAUGACGGUAACCGGAGAAGAAGCCCCGGCUAACUUCGUGCCAGCCGCCGCCGUAAGAC